rnacentral:rRNA from 1 species
GAGAUAACUCCUACGGGAGGCAGCAGUGAGGAAUAUUGGUCAAUGGUCGCAAGACUGAACCAGCCAUGCCGCGUGCAGGAAGACGGUCCUAUGGAUUGUAAACUGCUUUUAUACAGGAAGAAACCCUCCCACGUGUGGGAGCUUGACGGUACUGUAGGAAUAAGGAUCGGCUAACUCCGUGCCAGCAGCCGCGGUAAUACGGAGGAUCCAAGCGUUAUCCGGAAUCAUUGGGUUUAAAGGGUCCGUAGGCGGUCUUAUAAGUCAGUGGUGAAAGCCCAUCGCUCAACGAUGGAACUGCCAUUGAUACUGUAAGACUUGAAUGCUUAGGAAGUAACUAGAAUAUGUAGUGUAGCGGUGAAAUGCUUAGAUAUUACAUGGAAUACCAAUUGCGAAGGCAGGUUACUACUAAGUGAUUGACGCUGAUGGACGAAAGCGUGGGGAGCGAACAGGAUUAGAAACCCUUGUAGUCCUCCACU